rnacentral:rRNA from 1 species
GAUGAACGCUGGCGGCGUGCUUAACACAUGCAAGUCGAACGGAAAGGCUCCUGCUUGCAGGGGUACUCGAGUGGCGAACGGGUGAGUAACACGUGGGUGAUCUGCCCUGCACUUCGGGAUAAGCCUGGGAAACUGGGUCUAAUACCGGAUAGGACGAUGGUUUGGAUGCCAUUGUGGAAAGUUUUUCGGUGUGGGAUGAGCUCGCGGCCUAUCAGCUUGUUGGUGGGGUAAUGGCCUACCAAGGCGUCGACGGGUAGCCGGCCUGAGAGGGUGUACGGCCACAUUGGGACUGAGAUACGGCCCAGACUCCUACGGGAGGCAGCAGUGGGGAAUAUUGCACAAUGGGCGCAAGCCUGAUGCAGCGACGCCGCGUGGGGGAUGACGGCCUUCGGGUUGUAAACUCCUUUCGCUAGGGACGAAGCGCAAGUGACGGUACCUCGAGAAGAAGCACCGGCUAACUACGUG